CCUACGGGAGGCAGCAGUAGGGAAUCUUCCACAAUGGGCGAAAGCCUGAUGGAGCAACGCCGCGUGGGUGAAGAAGGUCUUCGGAUCGUAAAACCCUGUUGUUAGAGACGACAGUGCGUGAGAGUAACUGUUCACGUUUCGACGGUAUCUAACCAGAACGCCACGGCUAACUACGUGCCAGCAGCCGCGGUAAUACGUAGGUGGCAAGCGUUAUCCGGAUUUAUUGGGCGUAAAGGGAACGCAGGCGGUCUUUUAAGUCGGAUGUGAAAGCUUUCGGCUUAACCGGAGUAGUGCAUUGGAAACUGGGAGACUUGAGUGCAGAAGAGGAGAGUGGAACUCCAUGUGUAGCGGUGAAAUGCGUAGAUAUAUGGAAGAACACCAGUGGCGAAAGCGGCUCUCUGGUCUGUAACUGACGCUGAGGUUCGAAAGCGUGGGUAGCAAACAGGAUUAGAUACCCCUGUAGUC
rnacentral:rRNA from 1 species